CUGUGGUUGGCGUGACACCAGCGGUUCCUCCUACCGCUGGAAACGGCAGAUGGUAAACAUGACCUCAGUGCCUGAGCAGGACCACACCACAGGAAGCUCUUGGGGACAUGUUAUGCAUGUAAACGAUGGAUCAUCAUCAGCGGCUAAACUGGAGUAUUAUGUUGAGCAGCGGGCAGCUCUGGGGUGUCAGAUGAGCUUCUGGUACAAUAUUUAUGAUGAAAAGUCAUCGUUACCAUUAAGCCUUUAUGUAAAAAUGGUCAGAGGCUCAGCUGAGAAAGACUUGCUGGAGAUUUCUAAAAAACAGACAGACAGUUGGGAGAAUGCCACAGUCUUCAUUGGUAAUCAGCCAGGAGG